AGAAUCAACGCUGGCGGCGUGCCUAACACAUGCAAGUCGCACGAGAAAGGGGAGCAAUCCCUGAGUACAGUGGCGCACGGGUGAGUAACACGUGAAUCAUCUACCUCCGAGUGGGGAAUAACUGAGAGAAAUCUUAGCUAAUACCGCAUAAUACCCACGGGUCAAAGCAGUAAUGCGCUUGGAGAGGAGUUCGCGGCAGAUUAGUUAGUUGGCGGGGUAAUGGCCCACCAAGACGAUGAUCUGUAUCCGGCCUGAGAGGGCGCACGGACACACUGGAACUGAAACACGGUCCAGACUCCUACGGGAGGCAGCAGUGGGGAAUUUUGCGCAAUGGGGGAAACCCUGACGCAGCAACGCCGCGUGGAGGAUGAAGCCCCUUGGGGUGUAAACUCCUUUCGAUCGGGAAGAUAAUGACGGUACCGAUAUAAGAAGCCCGGCUAACUUCGUGCCAGCAGCCGC
rnacentral:rRNA from 1 species